rnacentral:snoRNA from 1 species
GUGCAGUGAUGUAUGUAUUUGUCAACACAUCAUUCUGAAAAAAGUAUGUGAUGACAUCUUAUGACUGAGCACA